rnacentral:rRNA from 1 species
UACGUAGGUGGCAAGCGUUAUCCGGAAUUACUGGGUGUAAAGGGCGUGUAGGCGGGGAUGUAAGUCAGAUGUGAAAUUCCACUGCUCAACGGUGGCGCUGCAUCUGAAACUAUAUCUCUUGAGUACUGGAGAGGGAAGUGGAAUUCCUAGUGUAGCGGUGAAAUGCGUAGAUAUUAGGAGGAACACCAGUGGCGAAGGCGGCUUUCUGGACAGUAACUGACGCUGAGGCGCGAAAGCGUGGGGAGCAAACAGG